AGAUUGAACGCUGGCGGCAUGCCUUACACAUGCAAGUCGAACGGCAGCACGGGAGCAAUCCUGGUGGCGAGUGGCGAACGGGUGAGUAAUACAUCGGAACGUGCCCAGUAGUGGGGGAUAACCCGGCGAAAGCCGGACUAAUACCGCAUACGACCUACGGGUGAAAGCAGGGGAUCGCAAGACCUUGCGUUAUUGGAGCGGCCGAUGUCAGAUUAGCUUGUUGGCGGGUAAAAGCCCACCAAGGCGACGAUCUGUA
rnacentral:rRNA from 1 species